ACCCGGCUGGCGCAAUGGUAGCGCGCAAGACUUCUACAAACACGAGAAAUCGUGGAUUCUCUCAAAAUCAGUAGCUACAUCUUGAGGCUGUGGGUUCGAGUCCCACGUUGGGUG